GCUUGGCUGAAUAGAAAAUGAACCCACCAGCCUCAUCGGAAGCAAAUCAGAGUUUCCCUUUUGCAAACAGAAUAGAGAGAAUCGGGAAGACUGUGGACCACAUGUCUCCAGUUCCAUUUUCCUGAGCUUACACCUUUCAAUAAGCCCACUCCACCCUGGGGUAGAGGAAGAAGGCUGGCAGGAACAGCCAGCAAAACAGAAAUACUGUCUCCAUCCUCUUUUCUCCUACGUUUGUCCUCUUCUGUCCAGACUAUCUGGAAACCAGACAACACUCACCAACCCCAUCAAAACUGUGCCCAGGCUGCUGACCACAGAGACCACUUCCUCAUCGCGGAGAUGCCUGAAGUCCAGUAACCUUUUCUUUGGCCAAAUUACAAGGUUCCUUAGAAGUAAACUUUCCUAACAACAUGCUGAUCUUUCCUCUAAUGAUCAGUCUAAAUACUACCUUCCUCAUGUCAUUUAUAAGUGCUCCAUAGGAGAACGGGGCACUGAAAAGGGCUUGAUCUAACCACACCUCAACCGUCUCCUCCCUGUGUUUACUCUGCCAGUUCAACUGCAAAGAAAUAAGCUAACAAACAGAAUCUCUUUCAAGGCUCUUGUGUCCUUUGUAAGCAAGUCAGUCACGAAUGGAAUGCAUCUCAAAUUUAAUUUACUGAUGGCAUGUAUUAGAAUGAGGUCAGAAUGUGAUUUUUCAAAAUGUUAAAUCAUUUUGUCUAUUUUCCACACUAAAGCAUCUUUUCAACCAUUAUAUUCACUUAAAAUUAUGUUAUGUAACUAUUCUCUUUAAAUACCAAGAGUAAUUAUUAUAACUUUUAAAAAGGUAGAAUACGGACCUAUAAUUUUUUCUUAUAAUAGGCCAUUUCUAAAAGAAAGCAAAGUGAUUUGUGUGUCACACAGAUAGAGAGUGUACCUUUUAGGAUUGAAAUGGAGCUGUGAAAAGAAAAAGAAAAACCAGGCUAUGUACCACCACUAAUCCUUCUUAUUUUCAUUCUUGGUUGGGGAAGGGGGUGAAAGAGGAGCAGCUAGGCAUCAGUUCAAGUUUAGCUCCUGGCUCAGAAAUAGGGCAACAGGAUGGGGAGACCUAAAGCCACCAAAAGAAGAUCCAGGGUGCUCUGAACACAACUUCCUCAGAUGCCCAUCCCAAACACAGUGCUAAAUUUCAUCUUCUCAUAGCCUACUAUGCUUAUUUCUGUCUGUGGUUUUGGCUUCACUCUACAGAGUAAGGCAACUGCAUCAUCUUCACAUACGGUUGUGAACUGUAGGCUCAUCUUUGUCUUAAUCUCUUGAUAAAUAAAAU
rnacentral:lncRNA from 1 species